CGGGGUGAGUAAUGUCUGGGAAACGUGCCUGAUGGAGGGGGGUAACUACUGGAAACGGUAGCUAAUACCGCAUAAUGUCGCAAGACCAAAGAGGGGGACCUUCGGGCCUCUUGCCAUCGGAUGUGCCCAGAUGGGAUUAGCUAGUAGGUGGGGUAACGGCUCACCUAGGCGACGAUCCCUAGCUGGUCUGAGAGGAUGACCAGCCACACUGGAACUGAGACACGGUCCAG
rnacentral:rRNA from 1 species